UUUCAGGUAAUUACAAGUGAAGAUGGUCAUGCGCACGCUUUGUGGCAACAUAUGGGAGUUCCAGUAACCACUUCUUAAACCAAAGACCACUUUAGAAGUAAUGUGGAUUGGCCAAACAAUGGAGAUAUACAACUAUCAGUCAAUUCCUCCACAAUGUUCACUCAAUGGGGCUUCAUGGGCUCAUUUCCCAUCUCUAUUUUUCCGGAGUUGAAAAAGUAAGAUCACUCCUCGGUUCAACAUCGAUGCUCCAAGGCAUCCAAAUAAGUUUAUCC